UACGGAAGGGGCUAGCGUUUUUCGGAAUUACUGGGCGUAAAGAGCGCGUAGGCGGCUUACCAAGUUGGGGGUGAAAUCCCGGAGCUCAACUCCGGAACUGGCUUCAAGACUGGUAGGCUCGAGUCCGGAAGAGGGGCGUGGAAUUCCCAGUGUAGAGGUGAAAUUCGUAGAUAUUGGGAAGAACACCGGUGGCGAAGGCGGCGCCCUGGUCCGGUACUGACGCUGAGGCGCGGAAGCGUGGGGAGCAAACAGG
rnacentral:rRNA from 1 species